rnacentral:rRNA from 1 species
GAUGAACGCUGGCGGCGUGCCUAAUACAUGCAAGUCGAGCGAAUGGAUCAAGAGCUUGCUCUUAUGAAGUUAGCGGCGGACGGGUGAGUAACACGUGGGUAACCUGCCCAUAAGACUGGGAUAACUCCGGGAAACCGGGGCUAAUACCGGAUAACAUUUUGAACCGCAUGGUUCGAAAUUGAAAGGCGGCUUCGGCUGUCACUUAUGGAUGGACCCGCGUCGCAUUAGCUAGUUGGUGAGGUAACGGCUCACCAAGGCAACGAUGCGUAGCCGGCCUGAGAGGGUGAUCGGCCACACUGGGACGGAGACACGGCCCAGACUCCUACGGGAGGCAGCAGUAGGGAAUCUUCCGCAAUGGACGAAAGUCUGACGGAGCAACGCCGCGUGAGUGAUGAAGGCUUUCGGGUCGUAAAACUCUGUUGUUAGGGAAGAACAAGUGCUAGUUGAAUAAGCUGGCACCUUGACGGUACCUAACCAGAAAGCCACGGCUAACUACGUGCCAGCCGCCGCAGUAA